GUUCAUCUGUCAUUAUACACACGAUCUUUGAGGAAAUUGCGCGCGCGCGGAAAAUGGGGCGGGGUCGUACCUCGCCCCAGAAUGACGUCAUCAGGCGGUUUCACUUCUUCUUGUGCUAAUUUUGGGUACGUUCGGGAAUCUAGUGUGACGCUCUCCUCGCUCGGGUACUCUGAUUUCCUCUCAUGUUUCACGUCAAGUUAAUAGAAGACCCUAAAUUGUCCAUAGGUAUAAAUGUGAAUGAUUGUUUGUUCAUAUGUGGCCCAAAUUGGCUGUAGCCUCUCACCAAAUGUCAGCUGGAAUAGCCUCCAGCUCACCCAUGACCCUCGUGAGGACAAACGUGCAGGAAGGAACAUUCCAGAAAAAGGUUGCAGUCACAGGAUGGGCCUCAGGAAACAGUACAAUAGAACAAAAUCAAGUAAAAUGAAAGGAGUCACCGUCACUGCUAAAUAUAACUGUUUGUUAUCAGGCAGUCUUUAUGAUGAAAAGGUGAAUUACUAAGCAUUUCUCCAUCAAUUUAGUGUUCAUUUACUUUUGACAAGGCUCAAUUAAAUGGUAGUCUGGAAGAGGUCACAACUGGUGGUGUAAAGCCCUUUUUUUUUUUAACAGUUACAGAUAUGUCAUUUUUUUUUCUUUUUUUAAAAAGUGGGUCCUUGAGCUUAUAGUACAUGAGCAGUAGAAAGGCCACACCUUUGACGGGUCAUCACAUGCGAUGACAAGCAUUUAGAAGCAUGCAACUUAAUAUGAUCGCACGCUUAAAAAGGUGGACAACAGAAAGUCAAACUUAAAUGUUUUGGGGAUGGUAUAGAAAAGGCUCACAUAAUCAAAGAAUGAAUUGUUUACACAUUUGGCUCCUCACAGUUUAAAAGACAUACACAUACAAUACCAUUCACCAUGUUAUGAAGAGGCAAAGUUCAAAGAUAUUUGGCUUUUGAGUGUUUUCUUGUAAUGCCAAGUCAAUUUUGUUUGUAUAUUUCUUUAUUCAGUGUUUACAUUACAUGAAUGUGAAAGGGUUGGAUUCCUCAUAAGGGAAAAAGACUUAUCACGUAUUUAUAAUGGGAUCAACUUCAUGUCUCUGUCCAAACUCGUAUGAUUUGAAUGAAAUUGUUGGAUGUGUGCUGGUUUUGAAGCCAUUUUGUCAAAUACAAUUUAAUUUGGAUACGAUAGACAUUUUGCAAUUUAAAUGCAACAUGGAAAAUCACAUUUAUGUUCAGUUGUGAAAUCCCAUCGGAUCAAGAUGCAACUUGUUUGCCUCCUCCUGUUUUUCAUCGUUAAGAUCCCAGACCACCGGCAUUUCUUUACUCACUGAAUUCACAUGUGACAAAAUGUUGAGCCUUGGCAAAGGCCUCCAAGGGCUCCGAUUCCAUGAACCUUUUUGUGUUUAAAAAUAAAUAAAUAAAUAACUUUGUUGAGUUUUUUGUUUGUUUGUUUUUUUCAAAAUUGUACUGACAUUAAGUUAUGUUCAAAGUGUCUCUUCCAGUAUUGUUAGGUUUGUAAUAAUUGGUAUGCAUAAUCAGUCAUCACUAGUAAUUUUUUUUUUGGGGGGGGGGGUUGGGUUGUUUAUUUCUCUGUUGUUUUUCAUUACUGGCUAAUUUGGCUCAUUUGAUUCCCAGUGUUGCCAUUGUUAGCAUGUCUGUCUGACAGUUUGGGGCUCAAAUGUCGGCUCCAGUCGUCCUGUGUGGACUUUGCAUGUUCUUCCUGUGCUAGUGUGGAUUUUCUGCAUGAAAUCCAGCUUCAUCCCACAUUCCAAAAAGUUAAAUUGCGACUCCCAAUUGCACGUAGAUGUGAACUUGAGUUUGACUGGUUGUUUGUCUACAUGCUGCGAUUGGCUGGUGACCAGUGUAGGAUAUACCCCAGCAUCUUGCCCAAAGUCAGCUGGGAUAAUGUCCAGCUCGCCCACAGCCCUAAUAAGGACAGGCACUACAGAAAAUGAAUGGAUAGACUCUCUGCUCAUUCACUGUUGUCAUAAUUCCCCCUUCGUCAUCUGUAUUUGAGUGUACCCUCCCCUCCUCCUGGAGGUUAUGCUGCAUGAAAUGUUUCACCCACUAAUGAAUCUCACAGCUGCUGUGCUAACCUCACCCUUUUGUUUUCCAAAGUCACAUUUCCAACUGUAUGUCUAAAAGCACCAGAAAUGUGUCAUUCAAUUACAGCCUUCUUACAGUACAUACGGAAAUUGUAUAUAUUCUAUUAAGUUCAUUUUUCCCGGGCUCACUCUAUUGUAGUUUUAAUGUUGCAUACAUUUUAUGAGAGUUGGGGGUAGUUUAGGGGUUUUGUGUCUUGCUCAAGGUUAUCUCAACUUUACAACUCAAAGUACUAUGAAAGAACACUAAUUUGCAUUCCCCAAACAACACAUUUGUAUAAACAUACAACAAAAAGUUCAGAAAUAUAUUUUAAUAGAGAUCGCUAAUGUAUACAUACAUACUGUACAUAACAUUGCCAAUAAUUGUAGACAGUUUUAAAACUUGUUCAUUACCCUUUUAAAUGAUGGCCAUUUGUAAGGAACAUUUAUUGCUUGGGCCAAACGGAUUUUUGUGCUGUGGAAGCAAACUCUGGUAGAUUAUUUCCCAGAUGCAACAAUACAUUGCCAAUAAGAAAAAGAUACAGAUCGAAAGCCUGAUUAUUUCCAUUUUAAAUGAUACCUCAUUUGUGAAGAACAUGCUUUGGCAUCAUGGUCUACAUGCCAAACAGCUUUUUUCCGUGGUUGCCAUUUACUUUAAUUUGGUGUUCUUGGAUGGUUGAAGUCUUAUUAUAACAAGGAAGAAUCAAGCCGUAAUGGCAGUUUUCCAAUUUAGUCUUUUGUCAAACUGUUAAGAGUCGCAGUAGCGUGUGCAAGAACCAUACACAGACGCAACUGCCCCUCCAUAUGGAGGUCAA